rnacentral:rRNA from 1 species
AAAGUUUGAUCUUGGCUCAGGAUGAACGCUGGCGGCGUGCUUAACACAUGCAAGUCGAACGGGAAAUAUUUCAUUGAGACUUCGGUGGAUUUGAUCUAUUUCUAGUGGCGGACGGGUGAUUAACGCGUGGGUAACCUGCCUUAUACAGGGGGAUAACAGUCAGAAAUGGCUGCUAAUACCGCAUAACCGCACAGAGCUGCGUGGCUCAGUGUGAAAAACUCCGGUGGUAUAAGAUGGACCCGCGUUGGAUUAGCUUGUUGGUGGGGUAACGGCCCACCAAGGCGACGAUCCAUAGCCGGCCUGAGAGGGUGAACGGUCACAUUGGGACUGAGACACGGCCCAGACUCCUACGGGAGGCAGCAGUGGGGAAUAUUUGCACAAUGGGGGAAACCCUGAUGCAGCGACGCCGCGUGAAGGAAGAAGUAUCUCGGUAUGUAAACUUCUAUCAGCAGGGAAGAUAGUGACGGUACCUGACUAAGAAGCCCCGGCUAACUACGUGCCAGCAGCCGCGGUAAUACGUAGGGGGCAAGCGUUAUCCGGAUUUACUGGGUGUAAAGGGAGCGUAGACGGUGUGGCAAGUCUGAUGUGAAAGGCAUGGGCUCAACCUGUGGACUGCAUUGGAAACUGUCAUACUUGAGUGCCGGAGGGGUAAGCGGAAUUCCUAGUGUAGCGGUGAAAUGCGUAGAUAUUAGGAGGAACACCAGUGGCGAAGGCGGCUUACUGGACGGUAACUGACGUUGAGGCUCGAAAGCGUGGGGAGCAAAC